AACGAACGCUGGCGGCGUGCCUAACACAUGCAAGUCGAACGAGAAAGGGGCUUCGGCUCCGAGUAAAGUGGCGCACGGGUGAGUAACACGUGGGUAACCUGCCUCUAAGAUUGGGAUAACUCGUCGAAAGAUGAGCUAAUACCGAAUAAGACCACAGUUCCCGCGGGAACAGGGGUCAAAGGUAGCCUCUGCUUGCAAGCUAUCACUUAGAGAUGGGCCUGCUCACCAUUAGCUAGUUGGUAGGGUAACGGCCUACCAAGGCAAAGAUGGUUAGCUGGUCGGAGAGGAUGAUCAGCCACACUGGAACGGAGACACGGUCCAGACUCCUACGGGAGGCAGCAGUGGGGAAUAUUGCGCAAGGGGCGAAAGCUUGACGCAGCAACGCCGCGUGAGUGAUGAAGGCCUUCGGGUCGUAAAGCUCUGUCGGGAGGAACGAAUGCUCCUGAGGUUAACAGCCUCGGGAGGUGACGGUACCUUCAAAGGAAGCACCGGCUAACUCUGUG
rnacentral:rRNA from 1 species